rnacentral:rRNA from 1 species
GACGAACGCUGGCGGCGUGCCUAAUACAUGCAAGUAGAACGCACAGUUUAUACCGUAGCUUGCUACACCAUAAACUGUGAGUUGCGAACGGGUGAGUAACGCGUAGGUAACCUGCCUGGUAGCGGGGGAUAACUAUUGGAAACGAUAGCUAAUACCGCAUAAUAUUAAUUAUUGCAUGAUAAUUGAUUGAAAGAUGCAAUUGCAUCACUACCAGAUGGACCUGCGUUGUAUUAGCUAGUAGGUGAGGUAACGGCUCACCUAGGCGACGAUACAUAGCCGACCUGAGAGGGUGAUCGGCCACACUGGGACUGAGACACGGCCCAGACUCCUACGGGAGGCAGCAGUAGGGAAUCUUCGGCAAUGGACGAAAGUCUGACCGAGCAACGCCGCGUGAGUGAAGAAGGGUUUCGGAUCGUAAAGCUCUGUUGUAAGAGAAGAACGGGCGUGAGAGUGGAAAGUUCACACUGUGACGGUAUCUUACCAGAAAGGGACGGCUAACUACGUG